AUUGAACGCUGGCGGCAGGCCUAACACAUGCAAGUCGAGCGCGCGGCGGACGGGUGAGUAAUGUAUGGGGACUGACCGAUAGAGGGGGAUAACUAUUGGAAACGGUGGCUAAUACCCCAUACUGCCGGAUUACCCAAAUGGGAUUAGCUAGUAGGUAAGGUAAUGGCUUACCCAGGCGACGAUCCCUAGCUGGUCUGAGAGGAUGAUCAGCCACACUGGGACUGAGACACGGCCCAGACUCCUACGGAGGCAGCAGUGGGGAAUAUUGCACAAUGGGCGCAAGCCUGAUGCAGCCAUGCCGCGUGUAUGAAGAAGGCCCUCGGGUUGUAAAGUACUUUCAGUCGGGAGGCGUUACCGACAGAAGAAGCACCGGCUAACUCCGUGCCAGCCGCCGCGGUAAUAC
rnacentral:rRNA from 1 species